UACUUUCAGCAGUGAGAAAGGCGGAGUCGUUAAUAGCGGCUCGUUUGACGUUAGCUGCAGAAGAAAGCACCGGCUAACUCCGUGCCAGCAGCCGCGGUAAUACGGAGGGUGCGAGCGUUAAUCGGAAUUACUGGGCGUAAAGCGCAUGCAGGUGGUUUGUUAAGUCAGAUGUGAAAGACCCGGGGCGUCAACCUCGGAAUUGCAUUUGAAACUAGGCAGACUAGAGUACUGUAGAGGGGGGUAGGAAUUUCAGGUGUAGCGGUGAAAUAGCGUAGAGAUCUGAAGGAAUACCGGUGGCGAAGGCGGCCCCCUCGGACAGAUACUGACACUCAGAUGCGAAAGCGUGGGGAGCAAACAGGAUUAGAUACCCUGGUAG
rnacentral:rRNA from 1 species